rnacentral:rRNA from 1 species
UGGGCAACCUGCCCUCAGCUCUGGGAUAACUCCAAGAAAUUGGGGCUAAUACCGGAUAUGACCGCUGACCGCAUGGUCUGGUGGUGGAAAGAUUUAUCGGCUGGGGAUGGGCCCGCUGCCUAUCAGCUUGUUGGUGGGGUAGUGGCCUACCAAGGCGACGACGGGUAGCCGGCCUGAGGGGGUGACCGGCCACACUGGGACUGAGACACGGCCCAGACUCCUACGGGA